GUAUAUCUCCAGUAUUUUAGCAUUAAUCGGUACAAUUAUAUUUAUGAUCCAAAUAGGAUCCAUACAAUUAGAAAAACUUUUCUACAAUCAAAACACUUACAACAUUAGUAUAGAAAGAGUGGAAACGACAUACUUUAAUAAAGACUACUAUGAUUAUUUCUAUUUUAAAUCCGGUAGAACUUCAAGAUAUCAAAUCUCGAUGUUUGGAUGCUCAAAGAUUAACGUGGAUAUGGAUAAUUUGAUUUUGGAGUAUACUUUGAAGAAGAAAAUUAAUAACAACUAUAUUUUUACUGGAAUACAUUCAAAAGUGAACAUAUUUGAUGCCAUCAAACAUAAUACGUUUGGUGUACGAAAAAUUGUAUUGGACCAGACAAAUCUUACAAUACCAGUCAAACCAGGAGUAUAUUGCAUAAAACCUACAGUGAUGGACGCAAGCAAAUUUCCGCCGUUGGUACCAAGUGGGCAUUAUUUUGCUGAAAUUAUUUUUUAUACUGAUG